GACAGAGGGGGCAAGCGUUGCUCGGAAUCACUGGGCGUAAAGGGCGCGUAGGCGGGCUGUCAAGUUUGGGGUGAAAUCCCACGGCUCAACCGUGGAACUGCCUCAAAUACUGACGGUCUCGAGGGAGGUAGGGGCGAGCGGAACUGAUGGUGGAGCGGUGAAAUGCGUUGAUAUCAUCAGGAACUCCGGUGGCGAAGGCGGCUCGCUGGACCUUUUCUGACGCUGAGGCGCGAAAGCUAGGGGAGCAAACGGG
rnacentral:rRNA from 1 species